rnacentral:rRNA from 1 species
AGUGGCGCACGGGUGCGUAACGCGUGGGAAUCUGCCCUUGGGUUCGGAAUAACAGUUAGAAAUGACUGCUAAUACCGGAUGAUGACGAAAGUCCAAAGAUUUAUCGCCCAGGGAUGAGCCCGCGUAGGAUUAGGUAGUUGGUGGGGUAAAGGCUCACCAAGCCGACGAUCCUUAGCUGGUCUGAGAGGAUGAUCAGCCACACUGGGACUGAGACACGGCCCAGACUCCUACGGGAGGCAGCAGUGGGGAAUAUUGGACAAUGGGCGCAAGCCUGAUCCAGCAAUGCCGCGUGAGUGAUGAAGGCCUUAGGGUCGUAAAGCUCUUUUACCAGGGAUGAUAAUGACAGUACCUGGAGAAUAAGCUCCGGCUAACUCCGUGCCAGCAGCCGCGGUAAUACGGAGGGAGCUAGCGUUGUUCGGAAUUACUGGGCGUAAAGCGCACGUAGGCGGCUACACAAGUCAGAGGUGAAAGCCCAGGGCUCAACCCCGGAACUGCCUUUGAAACUAGGUGGCUAGAAUCUUGGAGAGGUCAGUGGAAUUCCGAGUGUAGAGGUGAAAUUCGUAGAUAUUCGGAAGAACACCAGUGGCGAAGGCGACUGACUGGACAAGUAUUGACGCUGAGGUGCGAAAGCGUGGGGAGCAUACAGGAUUAGAUACCCUGGUAGUCCACGCCGUAAACGAUGAUAACUAGCUGUCCGGGU